rnacentral:rRNA from 1 species
GCGGCGGACGGGUGAGUAACACGUGGGCAACCUGCCUGUAAGACCGGGAUAACUUGCGGAAACGUGAGCUAAUACCGGAUAAUGAUUUCUGCCGCAUGACAGGAAUCUGAAAGACGGCGCAAGCUGUCACUUACAGAUGGGCCCGCGGCGCAUUAGCUAGUUGGUGGGGUAACGGCCUACCAAGGCGACGAUGCGUAGCCGACCUGAGAGGGUGAUCGGCCACACUGGGACUGAGACACGGCCCAGACUCCUACGGGAGGCAGCAGUAGGGAAUCUUCCGCAAUGGACGAAAGUCUGACGGAGCAACGCCGCGUGAGCGAAGAAGGUCUUCGGAUCGUAAAGCUCUGUUGUCAGGGAAGAACAAGUACGAGAGUAACUGCUCGUACCUUGACGGUACCUGACCAGAAAGCCACGGCUAACUACGUGCCAGCAGCCGCGGUAAUACGUAGGUGGCAAGCGUUGUCCGGAAUUAUUGGGCGUAAAGCGCGCGCAGGCGGUCCUUUAAGUCUGAUGUGAAAGCCCGCG